UGCAAGUAAUAAUCACUCUCGUGAUUCUUUUCCCCCUGUUUUCAGCUGUUAAGAGGCCAGUGUUGAUGAGUGGCUGUCCAGGCCUUUCAGAGCCACUCACACACCAGCAGCACAAUGAUGAUGUCACUGACUCUACUGCUGGCCACCCUGGGGCUCCUUGUUCAGGGUUCAUCUGAAGAUGUCGUCCUGACUCAGACUCCUAAAGCUCACUCUGCUGUGAACAUUUAUGAUGUCCUUUGUUCUAACUCGUCAAACAGUUAUUUCCAUUGUUGCUGUAGAAAUAAAGUGAAUGAAGUGAAACCGAAAGAUAAAAAAAAAAAAGUUGCACAGACUUCUUUAGCAAUGCUGGACAAAGUUAGUCGAUGCAACAUUUUCACAGUUCAUGUUAAGCUGAAUUUUAAUAUUUUUGACUUUUUAAAAACUAAUUAACAUAUUGUGUAAAAGCAAAAGUACACAGGGUGACCCGUAAUAACAAAUAGCUUAAAAUCCAUCAAUGUUUGCUAAAUGUUUGGAAAAUGUUACAGUUAUGUUGCCCCCAAAAUACCAUCAGACAUGAUGAGUGUCUGUCACUCUGUUAGCAUCUGGACUAAUGAGCUAAAUGAACUUAAUGUUAGGAUUAGCUACUGUCUGUGCCACAACUUAUAUUAUGUGACAGACUGAUCUCUUUAAAUGCUCUAAAUCUUCAACAAAGAUUAAAUAAUAUGGAGUUGACAAACAUCUAUUGGAAACAACAUCUACAAAACAUUUCUUAAAUAAAAUGUAUAAAACUGGUUUUAAAAUUCCAGUGAGAGAAAAUGAUCAAUAUUUACAUCACAAGACAGAAUUUAAACUAUGACAGUAAACUGUCUAAUUAUGAGAUAAAAUUAAUAUUUUAUGUAUAAUAUGUUAAAAAUAAUGUUAAAAAAAUAAAAUGUGGCUUAAUAAAUAAGUCAAAUGUACUUACAGUUAACAUCCAGUCUGGUUCCUAAAACCUCUGACUGUAGAGAGACAACUCUGACCCUGGAAAACUCAACAAAAUAACUGAUACAAUUUCAAAGACUUUAAACUUCAUAUAAAUAAUUUUUCAUAUUUUGAUUGUAUUUUAAUAACUUUAUCUGCAGUUUUUCAGUUCUUCUUUCGUGUUCUGUGAGAGAAAUCUAGUCUGGCUUAGAUUUCAACAUUAAAGUCAGGCUCAGUGCUGGCAUGAUCUCAACUAAAAUAAAUAAACUGUGGAUAUGUUACGUCCCCCCCGAAGGGAUCUAGGCAUGCGAGUGAGGGGACCAGUAACAAAUGGGUCCGGAAACAGAAUGAAAAGGAAAACAGACAGAGUUGUUCUAUAAUAAUAUAGUUUUAUUACAAAUGAGGUUAACUUAAAGAGCCGGCAACGCCGUUUUACCAAUAAUGCCAAAGAAAUAAAGGAAACACUCGCAGCAACAAAAGAAAAGAAAACUACUAAACACAAAAAAGGGAGGCACUUCCCACUUCCUACUUUACUCCUCACCAUGGGGAGACACUCUCAGGGCCCACAAGCCCAUCUACUCACUAGUUGAAGGAGGCUGUCUGUCCAAAACCUAGCAGAAAAAUGCGUAGAGCCACAGAGAGGAA